rnacentral:lncRNA from 1 species
GUAUGUAUGUAUAUAUAUGUACAUUAUUCAUUCACUGUGACAUUACAACAAGCCGAGUAGCGAAGAGCGAAGUUUGCAUUACAGGCUGUAAUUGACAGCAGACAACCGGCCGUAGAACAUUUUCAUUAGUUGGUGUUGUGGACUGUUAUAGUUUGAAGUUUGUUUUAGUAUUCUGUACUGAUAACUGAAAUGCAUAAUAUAUUUUUUGCUGUGUAAAUUUUAGCUAAAUGUAUAUGUAUAGUGAAAUAACUGUUUUUGUCUUUUCACUUUUAGGUUAUUAGUAAACCAAAUUAAGAAAAGGAAAGAUGAAGGAUGGAAGACUUAUUCAAGUCAAGAUCUGUAACUGGGAAUAAAGUGGAAUGAUAAUCAAUUGCAGGUCUAAUGCGGAAUAUGUCUUCAAAAGGAUUCUCCAGGCUUCAUUAUUUGAUGAUUACUUUAAAAAACAGUUGGACCGGCAGAAAUGGCAGUAAUAUAUUCGGCCAUGGAUAUUAAAACAAUAUUCUAUCUAGAAACAUCAGUUCAAGUACUGCAGUGUGUAUACGAUCCCUUUCAACCCCUCAUCAAAAGAAACCGGCAAGUCAGACAGUGGAUUCCAGGCUGGACCAGUGGUCCCAAGUGUUCACACCCUAAAAAGAAGGUAAGAAAUUACCCUGACAGUUUUACGAUGUGGACCUACAAUACGUUUACCAUUGUUUAUUUACUAGAUAAAGAUACUAUAAAUAUAUUUCAAUUUACGUUUGAUAAACUACAGUAGCCUUUCAACAUUUAUAUUUUAUUACUGACUAGAUAGGAGACUGAGCCCCUAGAUACAGUAGUAGUAAUAAGUUCAAAAUAUAAUCUUAUAAAUAAAAAUGAAUCGCUGAAUGUCUUGCUAAUCCUGGGAUAAGUA